AGGGGAGGAGGGGGCGACAACGGGAGGUGAGGAAGGCGCCCCCGCCCUGUCCCCCGGGAUGCUCCCCUGCCACAUCCCGGGGCGCCUCCUGCCCCGCAGGAGCCCCGCCAGCUGCCCAUGGACGUGCCACAGCCCCGCAGCACCCAGUCCGUAACAUCGGAUGUGCUUCAGCCUCCCCUGGUCUCUCCAGGCUGGCCAAGACAAAGACCAGUUGGCCUGGCACAGAGCCUACAGGGAAGCGCUCAUUUGUGGCUCAUCUGUGCUGCUGGACAUUCAUCUGCCCAUGCAUUUGGUCUGGUGUGUUUGUUCAUCAAAGUAAGUGUCCUUUAUCCCCCCUUUAUCAGCUUUCUGAGCUGAGCCAAUCCACGUGCUCAGGGUCCUGCCCAGUUUGCCAUGAUGGGACAGAGCCCUUGAAUUGAUAUGAACAGCUCUGGAGUUCUUACUUCUGCUGAAAGCAACAAUUGGGACCUUUAUUGACCCACUAUUAAUGGCCUCGAAUUGAGCUUAAUAGCUGGCUGCAUCUGUUUAUCACCAGCACUGACGGCUUGGCACGUCAUGUUCCAAAGUGCCUUGGUACUCAGCAUCACCAGCUCCUCAUCUGUACCUGUGCCCACCAGUGAUGAGCCAGGUGCUGCCUGACAAUGAUGUGGAGCACAUCAAAUAAACUGUGUCCACAAAUAUCUGUAUUAACUACACUUUGUGAUAAAGAUCCAAAAUAGCUUCACAUUUUCAGCAUGUUGCUGAAUCAACACAUGGCACUGAGCAAAUGCUGCUUGGUGGUGGGAAAGGACGUCCAGGACAGCAGUGACAACCAUCCAAUACAUGUUAUUGCAGGCUCCCUGAGGAGCCCUGCCCCAGGCAAUGUCCCUGCUGCUCUUGGCUACAAGGAGAAAUCAGUCUGGGGUACAAGGAGAAUUCAUGCUUAAACUUGAAGCAAAGAGUAAGGGAAAGGGAGAACUUGGGGUGGAUUGACACAAAGAUUUCUUUGGGCACACAGCAACAAUCAGGGGAAGCCUUUCUCUCUUUGAUUGGCUUUGCUGCCCAAGAAAAAUCCAUGGCCAAACGAUUGCUUAGAUUUCUGCCUACUAAAGUCUACAAUUUCUGUACAACCCCACAAACACUCCGCUGAAGGCUCUGGAUGGGCUCUGAUAGGGAGCCGGAGGCUGGAGUCCAUGGCCAGGGAGGAUGAUUGCUCUCUCUGGUGCUGUUUCAUGUUCCUGGGCAGGUGUUGGGAGUUGCCCAGCUCAGGACAGCUCAGAGUGGUGUGAGUGACCCCAGCUGUGCCUCCUCAUGUGGUUUCCACAUAAAGGCUGGCUUGGAUGGCAGUGUAAGUCUGUGUGGCCCACGGUAGAGGGAAAACCCACAUCCUUAUGUUCUGGAUCCUGGCUUUUAUCCAAGGUGGGUGAGUGCCUUCACCUGACUCUCUCAGGCGUUGGGAAUUUCUCUGUGUCUGCUUGGAGCUUCCCAUUCAGCGAGCAUGGACGGACCUCGUGGUUUCCUCUGCAGGCACAUCUGAAACCUGAUUCUGCUGUGAUCCUGACCAGCAUCACACCCUGGUGGCUCCAGGCACUUGGCCCCCUCACAGCACAGCUGAGAAGAAGGUAAAUGGCCAAUGCCCAGCAGGCUUUUCCUAGGAAAGCAAGAACAAAGUGGACACAACAGCUGGUUCCAGCGAGCAUUUGGCAGAUGGAAGAUCUAGCCCUGCAACUCCUGCAGGUAAUGAGGAGAAAGGAGGACUACAGAGGACAGGAAAAGAGUUUGUAGUAAAAAAACUGCUGGCAACUGAGGCACCUCUCUUCUGCCUUUAUGAUCACUGUGCAACCAGGCUUCAAUGUUGUGGGAGCAAGUUGCACCAGCUUGUUUCCAGCCAUGGUACCCCAAAGACAAGUGGUGGCUGAAUUCAGAGCAACUGGCUUAUGGCAACCCCCAUCACAGUAUGAUAGACUGACAGAAUUCCCACCCCCAUGGAGUCCUGCAUGGAGCUGGGCUGGAGAAUUGCAUGGGAAAGCCCUAGACGGAGUUCCUCGCCUGUAGAGCAGCGAGCAAAGGGAAAAGCUGUCCCAGAAUGGAGCACCAGGAGGCCGCCCCCGUGCACUCACCCUCUGUCGAACUCGGCCACGUCGCGGAGCUGUCGCCGGUAGGUGUCCAGCAGCAGCCACGGGGAGCAGCGGGGCGCGGGCGGCGGCCGCGGCCGGGAGAAGCGGAAGCGCACGGAGCCCGCGGCCGUGAAGCAGAUGUGGCAGUCGGGCAGCCCUCCACAGGUGCCCAGCCCAGUUCCCUGCUGCUGUCACCCCACCCUGCAGGUCUGGGAAGGGGAAGCACAAACCCAAGUGAGCUGGUGUUCCAAACCCACUUCUGGGAGACAGCAGGAAAGAUGAAACACUCACCAUCCUCACCAGUCCCUGAGGAGGAGAGGUGGCUAGCAGCCACCAGCACCCUUUCUGAACCAAGAUGAUGAUGUAUCAAGGUACAAAAGUGUGCUAGCUUCACAUUUUAGCCUAAAUAGCUGUAAUUCCCAGCAUGGGAUGGGGGCCAAAGGGAAUUCACUGAGGCAGUCAGGCUCCCCAGCAGCCUGGCAGCUCCUUGAUCCACAAUGGAAAUUAAUCACUGAACUCAGGGAAGCACACCUUAAAUGAAAAAAAACAAACACCACCAACUUUGCUGAGGCAUCACCUUAAAUGGAAAAAUCAAACUAUGCAUAUCCAGCCUGUUGGAAUGACACUGUAAUUAAAACUUAAUGAAAA